GAAAAAAACUAGGUGAAUUUCACAGGAGGAAGAAGAGGGAUGCAGAGUUAGCCAUUUCUGCUUGACAAAUGUCUGGAUGUUUAUUUGGCUAAAAUAACAACAACAACCAAACUUCAGAUGACCACACAUCAUUUCCCGGUCCUUUCAGUGUUGUUGGUAACGCAGAUCGAUCAGAAACUGUCCCAGA